CCGCCAUUAAAACUCUAAAGAAGAAGGUGCUGUGCACGGGCUCAUUUGACUACGCAUAGUACUGUAUUAGAGAUGAAUCCCGUACGUUGGCGGCUGUUUUAAACUGGGUGCUCGGCUCAGACCCUUUUGCCAGUAUGAAGCCGAUUUCAACGGUAACUGCAGAAAGCGUCAGCACGCUCAGCUCAUCACUGGAGUAACGUCUGUACAACGGGUGAGAUAAAACUCAACGCCUGACUGAAUCAUCCAUUCCCUUUUCGAUCCUACGCCAUACGUUAAACUUGAGGUAAUCUUGCUUUUGCUGUUCUAAAAUAAACACUGCUCUUAGCACACCCCACCCUUACAUGGCACACAAGUAUAUGACACACAACACGGGUCUUCUCAGGAGGCUGUGCCUACAGGUAGGAAUUAUACAAAGUGAUCUCUCUCGGUUUACUCUGACAUAUCUACGUACAAUGUUUUGCUAGUAAUCUGCUAUGCCUGCUUUUUCUUGUGUUCUACAGCAAUAGGCUUUACGCCCAGCUGCACUACUUCCUGAACUUCA